AUUGAACGCUGGCGGCAUGCCUUACACAUGCAAGUCGAACGGCAGCACGGGGCAACCUGGUGGCGAGUGGCGAACGGGUGGGUAAUGCAUCGGAACGUACCUUUCAGUGGGGGAUAACGUAGCGAAAGUUACGCUAAUACCGCAUAUUCUGUGAGCAGGAAAGCAGGGGAUCGCAAGACCUUGCGCUGAUUGAGCGGCCGAUGUCAGAUUAGCUAGUUGGUGAGGUAAAGGCUCACCAAGGCGACGAUCUGUAGCGGGUCUGAGAGGAUGAUCCGCCACACUGGAAGUGAGACACGGUCCAGACGCCUACGGGAGGCAGAAGUGGGGAAGCUUGGACAAUGGGGGCAACCGUGAUCCAGCCAUGCCGCGUGAGUGAAGAAGGCCUUCGGGUGGUAAAGCUCUUUCGGCCGGGAAGAAAUCGCACGGGCUAAUACCCUGUGUGGAUGACGGUACCGGAAUAAGAAGCACCGGCUAACUACGUGCCAGCAGCCGCCGUAAAAC
rnacentral:rRNA from 1 species